GACGUAGGUGGCGAACGUUAUCCGGAAUCAUUGGGCGUAAAGCGCGUGUAGGCGGUUCGGUAAGUCCGCUGUGAAAGUCGGGGGCUCAACCCUCGAACGCCGGUGGAUACUGUCGGACUAGAGUACGGAAGAGGCGAGUGGAAUUCCUGGUGUAGCGGUGAAAUGCGCAGAUAUCAGGAGGAACACCAAUUGCGAAGGCAGCUCGCUGGGACGUUACUGACGCUGAGGCGCGAAAGCCAGGGGAGCGAACGGG
rnacentral:rRNA from 1 species